CACGCAGGCGGUUUUUUAAGUCAGAUGUGAAAGGUACCGGCUCAACCGGUGACAUGCAUUUGAAACUGAAAGACUUGAGUAUUGGAGAGGCAAGUGGAAUUCCUUGUGUAGCGGUGAAAUGCGUAGAUAUAAGGAGGAACACCGGUGGCGAAGGCGGCUUUCUGGACUGUAACUGACGCUGAGGCACGAAAGCGUGGGGAGCAAACA
rnacentral:rRNA from 1 species